CCUACGGGUGGCAGCAGUGAGGAAUAUUGGUCAAUGGACGAGAGUCUGAACCAGCCAAGUAGCGUGAAGGAUGACUGCCCUAUGGGUUGUAAACUUCUUUUAUAUGGGAAUAAAACGUUCCACGUGUGGGAUUUUGUAUGUACCAUAUGAAUAAGGAUCGGCUAACUCCGUUCCAGCAGCCGCGGUAAUACGGAGGAUCCGAGCGUUAUCCGGAUUUAUUGGGUUUAAAGGGCGCGUAGGUGGAGUGUUAAGUCAGUUGUGAAAGUUUGCGGCUCAACCGUAAAAUUGCAGUUGAAACUGGCAGUCUUGAGUACAGUAGAGGUGGGCGGAAUUCGUGGUGUAGCGGUGAAAUGCUUAGAUAUCACGAAGAACUCCGAUUGCGAAGGCAGUUCACUGGACUUCAACUGACGCUGAGGCUCGAAAGUGUGGGUAUCAAACAGGAUUAGAUACCCUGGUAGUC
rnacentral:rRNA from 1 species